rnacentral:rRNA from 1 species
CAACUCUUAACAGUGGAUAUCUUGGUUCCCACAACGAUGAAGAACGCAGCGAAAUGCGAUAUGUAAUGAGAAUUGCAGAAUUCAGUGAAUCAUCAAAUCUUUGAACGCAAGUUGCGCUUUGGAGAUAUCAUUGAAAGCAUGCCUCUU